UAUGAUCUGGGGACACAAAAUUUCAGCCCUAGUUGUAUGGUUGGUGAUCUAUAAUCUCAUGCAUCUUGGGUAAUAUGGGUGUUUGGGAGCUUGCCUGAGGAGAAGAUUUUCUCGAAUCUUCCAGAGAAAAAUUAAUUAUGGAUCUUGGUAGAAACGUCGAGCCUUUCCGCAUUUCUCUUGCGGAUUCCAUUGGAAAAAAUAGAUGGAGAUUCCAAGGCGCCAUGGCUCUAUGCCGGUCACGAUUCCGACCGUUAUCGUCCUCAAAGAUGACGUCAUCAGUCUGCCUACCGUUAGUCUCACCGAAGCCCUUUUUAUCCUCCCCUCUUCUAUUCGUCGGUUUCUCUCAUGGCCAACAUCAAGUCCUUUUUUUUUUGGUGGGGGGGGUUGGGGGUUAGACGGAUCAUCAAGCUCUGUCACCGGCGUUUAGAAGGACUGGGAGUGAGAAGUUAAGGAGGUUAAGUGUUCCGGGGUUUUGGCGUGGGAGAGAUGGACUAGGGGAUGUCGUCCUCCACCUCGGGCCGGUGGCGGUACCGUCGCCCCUCCUACGACUUGAAGCGGCCGAGGCGGAUGGCGCUGGUCUCCAUUGUUUUCGUCGUCGUCACCUUCGGCCUCUGCGAUCGGCAGUCCAUGGUCCGGAAACACGGGUUGCAGAACAUAGAAGAUGAUUUGUGGAAUUCUGGAGAAGUUAUAGUUGGCAUUGUUGGUAAAUUGAGCAACGUGGAUCUUGUCUACCAUGAUCCAAAUGACAAUCAGCACAGAAAAAGUGAGAGAGGCUAUGCUUCAUGCAUGGAAUUCUUAUGGAAUGCAUGGGCCCAAGAUGAACUUCAGAAACUGUGACAGGAUUUGAACUCCUGAAGGGUGUGCAUAGGUGGUGGAUGGUGAGCUUAAGAAGGGUGUACAUAUCCUCCGUUUGAGAUAUUCAUGAUACUGCAGGUUAUGCUUUUGGUCAUUCACCUUGUCAACAAUUCCAGUCCAAGGAACACAAGUUGUUGGAGAUGGGAUGAUAGCGGGGGUUUUUUGUGAAAAUCCACUGGCUUCUUAAUUGAUGGAGGCCUCUGGCUUGAGGUUCAGAUAAAAAGACAGUCCUUCAUUUGAUUGGUUGGGAAUGCAAGACACCUAAAAGCAAGGAAGUGUUGCUGAUUUAUGAUCAGAUGCAAAAGCACUCACCUUCUUUCAGUGGAGGAUGACUUAAUAGUCAAAUAUGUAAUGGUACUGACUAUUUACUUCCAGAGGAAGCAACAAGUUUGAACCCAUUGUCAUUUAAUCUGGCACUGCAAAUCCUUUAUUUGUCUAAACUAUUGCAAUUGAUUAACUGACCUAUGCUGCCUGCUUUGCUUUGUCAUGUAAAUAUCUGAAUUGCAGCACAUGGGACAUGUCUUCUCUUUCAUCAAC